ensembl:snRNA U6 U6 spliceosomal RNA
GUGCUUGUUUUGAAGCACAUAUACUAACUAAAAUUGAAAUGAGACAGAAAAGAUUAGCAUGGCCACUGUGCAAGUUUGGCAAGAAAAUUUGUGGAAGUAUUCCAUAUUUUG